CCUACGGGUGGCAGCAGUGGGGAAUAUUGCACAAUGGGGGAAACCCUGAUGCAGCAACGCCGCGUGAGUGAAGAAGUAUUUCGGUAUGUAAAGCUCUAUCAGCAGGGAAGAAGAUGACGGUACCUGAGUGAGAAGCCCAGGCUAACUACGUGCCAGCAGCCGCGGCAAUACGUAGGGGGCAACCGUUAUCCGGAUUUACUGGGGGUAAUGGGAGCGCAGACGGUGAGACAAGUCUGAAGUGAAAGCCUGGAGCUCAACCCGGGGACUGCUUUGGAAACUGCCUGACUGGAGUGCGGGAGAGGCAAGCGGAAUUCGUGGUGUAGCGGUGAAAUGCGUAGAUAUGAGGAAGAACACCAGUGGCGAAGGCGGCUUGCUGGACAGUAACUGACGUUGAGGCUCGAAAGCGUGGGGAGCGAACAGGAUUAGAUACCCUUGUAGUC
rnacentral:rRNA from 1 species